rnacentral:rRNA from 1 species
UAGCGGUGUGGCUUAGGCAUGCAAGUCGUGCGCGAAAGUCUUCGGACGAGUAAAGCGGCGAAAGGGUGAGUAACACGUAACCAAUCUACCCCUGAGACUGGAAUAACCACUGGAAACGGUGGGUAAUGCCAGAUGGUCCAUCCUGGAGGCAUCUCCGGGCUGGUAAACGGUGGCGUAAGCUGCUGCUCUGGGAAGAGGUUGCGGACUAUCAGCUAGUUGGUGAGGUAAUGGCCCACCAAGGCUAUGACGGUUACCGGGUCUGAGAGGACGGUCCGGCACACUGGGACUGAGACACUGCCCAGACUCCUACGGGAGGCUGCAGUCGAGAAUCUUCCGCAAUGGGCGAAAGCCUGACGGAGCGACACCGCGUGCAGGAUGAAGGCCUUCGGGUUGUAAACUGCUGUCAGGUUCUAGGAAUGACAUGGUGUAAAUAGCGCCAUGUUUGACCAAGACCAAAGGAAGCAACGGCUAACUCUGUGCCAGCAGCCGCGGUAAGACAGAGGUUGCAAGCGUUGUUCGGAAUUACUGGGCAUAAAGCGCACGUAGGCGGUCCGCUAAGUCAUGUGUGAAAUCCCCCGGCUCAACCGGGGAAUGGCGCCUGAUACUGGCGGACUCGAGAUCGGUAGGGGUGAGUGGAACUCCAGGUGGAGCGGUGAAAUGCGUAGAUAUCUGGAGGAACACCGGUGGCGAAAGCGACUCACUGGACCGACACUGACGCUGAGGUGCGAAAGCUAGGGUAGCAAACGAG